UCAGCUAGUUUUCUGCUCUCUUCUUCAAUGUGAGCUGACUUGGUUUGCAGUUCCUUGAGAGAAUUCUGCAAUAAAGGUUUCUCGGCAGCCUCAGCCUUGAGAUUUUCAACCUCAGAUUUUAAAGCAACUUCUCCUGCUUUUUGUUCCUUGAGCUGUUCUUCAAGGUUGGAUAUCACUUGCUGGAGUUCAUUCUUAGUAUUUUGAUGCACUUCAUCAAGCAGGCGGUUCUCAUCCAUAAGCGAAGAUAUCUGUAGCAAACAGAUGUAGCUAAUAACCAUAAGGCAACAAUAUUUAGCCGCAAAAUAAUUAAAAAAAUAGUUUGGUGCAAACCUGAGAUUGUAGUUUCUGCCCUUCAGAAGAAUGCUGCUGCGUUAAAUCUUCAAUAGUCCUUUUUGCAGCCUGAAGUUGUUCAACUGAUCCGUCCUUCUCAGCAACGGCAGUGGAAUAUUUUGCUUCAAGGUCACUUAGUUUGGACUCGUAUGUAGACGCAUCUUCUUUAAGCUUUAUAUUUGCCUCAGCUAGUUUUCUGCUCUCUUCUUCAAAGUGAGCUGACUUGGUUUGCAGUUCCUUGAGAGAAUUCUGCAACAAAGGUUUCUCAGCAACCUCAGACUUGAGAUUUUCAACCUCAGAUUUUAAAGCAACUUCUCCUGCUUUUUGUUCCUUGAGCUGUUCUUCAAGGUUGGAUAUCACUUGCUGGAGUUCCUUCUUAGUAUUUUGAUGCACUUCAUCAAGCAGGCGGUUCUCACCCAUAAGCGAAAAUAUCUGUAGCAAACAGAUGUAGCUAAUAACCAUAAGGCAACAAUAUUUAGCCGCAAAAUAAUUAAAAAAAAGUUUGGUGCAAACCUGAGAUUGUAGUUUCUGCCAUUUAGAAGAAUGCUGCUGCGUUAAAUCUUCAAUAGUCCUUUUUGCAGCCUGAAGUUGUUCAACUGAUCUGUCCUUCUCAGCAACGGCAGUGGAAUAUUUUGCUUCAAGGUCACUUAGUUUGGACUCGUAUGUAGACACAUCUUCUUUAAGCUUUAUAUUUGCCUCAGCUAGUUUUCUGCUCUCUUCUUCAAAGUGAGCUGACUUGGUUUGCAGUUCCUUGAGAGAAUUCUGCAAUAAAGGUUUCUCAGCAGCCUCAGACUUGAGAUUUUCAACCUCAGAUUUUAAAGCAACUUCUCCUGCUUUUUGUUCCUUGAGCUGUUCUUCAAGGUUGGAUAUCACUUGUUGGAGUUCCUUCUUAGUAUUUUGAUGCACUUCAUCAAGCAGGCGGAUCUCAUCCAUAAGCGAAGAUAUC
rnacentral:lncRNA from 1 species